rnacentral:pre_miRNA from 1 species
AAAAAGUCAAACCCUGUAUUUUCGUGUCCAACUUUGACUAUCCGUCUUAUAUGAAAUUUUUUUAUAAUUUGUAUUUUUGUUGUUGUUAGAUGAUAAAACAUGAUUAAUAUUUUAUGUGUGACUUGUCUUUUUAAUUUUUUUCAUAAUUUUUUCAAAUAAGACGGACGGUCAAAUGUUGGACACGGAAACCAGUGUUUGUCUUUUUU